rnacentral:rRNA from 1 species
AUAUUGGGCAAUGGAGGCAACUCUGACCCAGCCAUGCCGCGUGCAGGAAGAAGGCCUUCUGGGUUGUAAAGCUCUUUUACCCGGGAUGAUAAUGACAGUACCGGGAGAAUAAGCCCCGGCUAACUCCGUGCCAGCAGCCGCGGUAAUACGGAGGGGGCUAGCGUUGUUCGGAAUUACUGGGCGUAAAGCGCGCGUAGGCGGCUUUGUAAGUUAGAGGUGAAAGCCCGGAGCUCAACUCCGGAACUGCCUUUAAGACUGCAUCGCUAGAACGUCGGAGAGGUAAGUGGAAUUCCGAGUGUAGAGGUGAAAUUCGUAGAUAUUCGGAAGAACACCAGUGGCGAAGGCGACUUACUGGACGACUGUUGACGCUGAGGUGCGAAAGCGUGGGGAGCAAACAGG